rnacentral:rRNA from 1 species
CGGCGAGUUACGAUUUGAUGCAAGGUUAAGCAGUAAAUGUGGAGCCGUAGCGAAAGCGAGUCUGAAUAGGGCGUUUAGUAUUUGGUCGUAGACCCGAAACCAGGUGAUCUACCCUUGGUCAGGUUGAAGUUCAGGUAACACUGAAUGGAGGACCGAACCGACUUACGUUGAAAAGUGAGCGGAUGAACUGAGGGUAGCGGAGAAAUUCCAAUCGAACCUGGAGAUAGCUGGUUCUCUCCGAAAUAGCUUUAGGGCUAGCCUCAAGUGAUGAUUAUUGGAGGUAGAGCACUGUUUGGACGAGGGGCCCC